rnacentral:lncRNA from 1 species
AUAGGCUUUGAUUUGUGUGAAAAGUGUUAUAACAUUCCCUCCAAGUAUACAGAUUUUGUCAAUCAGCAUCAAAGACAACGCCAUACAUUUGAGCUUAUUGCAAACCGUGAAGACAAACCAGUUGUUGUACAUCCAGAAGAUCCUUCUGAGGAUGCGGAAGGUGGUCUUGUGGUUGCAUAAUUGGCUGAAAUUGAAGAGUAUAACAAAGCAUAAGUUUUAGCUAGUUAAUAACUACAUACGGGCGAAUGGUCAAGCUUAUUGAGGUCGGUACUGAUCAGUGAUCACACUCUUAUUGAAGUUAUUUCCUUGUUGUUUCUUAUGAGGUUGCAGAGGAUCUUUUUUUCUCAUAAGUUCUCUGUCGCUUUAUCAUUAUCUCUUUUACUCUUUCAUUUUCACCCUUUGGCAUUCCACCAUUUGUUACAGGAUUGUUGAGAUCAUAACGGUACUAAUAAGGAAGAAAAGAGCUUUGACUGACUGUUUGGGGUUGAUGUUAUUCUGGCAGUCCCUGAUCAAGAAAGGGUGCAUUUUCAGGUUAUCUGGGGUGACUAUCGCUGUUGUCAAGCUUGUUCAAUAAGUGAGUAAAAAAUUUACACUGAAGCACUUCUAAUAUCGUGGAAAUCUCAAGUAUUGGAAUGUUAAGUAUGUUACACACAUACAGGAUACUUUUUUCUCCGGAAAUGUUAUUGAUCAUAUAUGUGGGCUAAAGGGGUAAAUAUUACUCCUGUAAUCCUGCUGCUCCUCCAUGCAUAAUGGACACUUAGCUAGUGUUGAUCAUAACAAGAGGUGCAUCUUAAUUACUGUUGUGAAUUAAUAAAUCUCAGGAAGCGUAGUAAUUUUCUUGGACUUCAGAAGCAGCUUCCAAAAUUAUAUUGUUUUCUUAAAACUGGCAAAUCAAGUAAGUCUGUUGUGAAUAUAUUGUUGUAUAUAUUCUUGCAAAAAUUGAUUGUUGGAGAAUGAGUAUAUGAUGUGUAUUUUCUUGCAAUUGUUGGAAAUUGUUUCAUGAAAAGUGAUGGAGUAAAGAGGGGCUUAUAGAGGAUGGAUUCGCUGAUUCUAUUACAUAACAGGUGAGCCCCAGAUUUAUUUUCAAAAUAGUCACAAAUAUCAAUUUAUAAUUUUAGCUUAAAAACUGUGGAAGUGCUUCUGUCAGCUUACAGCAACAUCUUGCAUAUUAAGCAGGUGAUAGUUCCAAGGAAAUUGAUGAGUUGACAGAGAAUUAAACGAGUUGA